rnacentral:misc_RNA from 1 species
UACAUAGAGGCUAAUGAAAGGGUUGUGAAGCUACCCUUCAUUUGAAAACCAUCUAUAUGUUAUAACAGAAAGGAAAAGGACUAUAAGAAGGGAGCAAGUGCUGGUGCUCACCUUCAUCUCCUUUAAAAACUCUUUCUUCUGAAAGCACAACAUGGAACUAAUAUAUGUCUAAGGAGACAAUUGGAACUUUUCAUUUGAGCAACCCAUCUUUCGGUUCCCAACAUGAUUUGAGAAACUUAUAACUCAG